UACGAGGGGGGCAAAUGUUGUUCGGAAUCACUGGGCGUAAAGGGAGCGUAGGCGGGCUCUUAAGUUAGGUGUUUAAUCCCGGGGCCCAACCCCGGACAGGCACCUAAAACUGGGAGUCUUGAAUAGUGGAGAGGACGGCGGAAUUGGGGGUGUAGCGGUGGAAUGCGUAGAGAUCCCCAAGAACACCAGUUGCGAAGGCGGCCGUCUGGACACAGUAUUGACGCUGAGGCUCGAAAGCAUGGGGAGCAAACAGG
rnacentral:rRNA from 1 species